rnacentral:rRNA from 1 species
AUUGAACGCUGGCGGCAGGCCUAACACAUGCAAGUCGAACGAGUGGCGGACGGGUGAGUAAUGUCUGGGAAACUGCCCGAUGGAGGGGGAUAACUACUGGAAACGGUAGCUAAUACCGCAUACCAUCGGAUGUGCCCAGAUGGGAUUAGCUAGUAGGUGGGGUAACGGCUCACCUAGGCGACGAGCCCUAGCUGGGCUGAGCGGAUGACCGGCAACACUGGAACUGAUACACGGUCCAGACGCCUACGGGAGGCAGAAGGGGGAAAUAUUGCACAAGGGGCGAAAGCCUGAUGCAGCCAGGCCGCGUGUAGGAAGAAGGCCUUCGGGUGGUAAAGUACUUUCAGCGGGGAGGCGUUACCCGCAGAAGAAGCACCGGCUAACUCCGUGCCAGCAGCCGCGGUAAUUC